rnacentral:hammerhead_ribozyme from 1 species
GCACUGCUGUCGAGUCCCAUACCAGGACGAAACGGCCGUCCAGUGC